AGCAGCCGCGGUAAUUCCAGCUCCAAUAGCGUAUAUUAAAGUUGUUGCGGUUAAAAAGCUCGUAGUUGAAUUUCGGGAUCAAGUCGUCGGUCGUGCCUCGGUACGCACUGGUGACAUUGGCUUCUCCCUUCUGAAGAACCUUGAUGUCAUUAAUUUGGUGUCUUGGGGAAUCAGGACUGUUACUUUGAAAAAAUUAGAGUGUUUAAAGCAAGCCCACGCUUGAAUACAUUAGCAUGGAAUAAUGAAAUAGGACGUUUGAUUCUAUUUUGUUGGUUUCUAGGAUCGACGUAAUGAUUAAUAGGGAUAGUUGGGGGCAUUAGUAUUCAAUUGUCAGAGGUGAAAUUCUUGGAUUUAUUGAAGACUAACUACUGCGAAAGCAUUUGCCAAGGAUGUUUUCAUUAAUCAAGAACGAAAGUUAGGGGAUCGAAGACGAUCAGAUACCGUCGUAGUCUUAACCAUAAACUAUGCCGACUAGGGAUCGGAUGAUGUUAAUUUUUAAUGACUCAUUCGGCGCCUUACG
rnacentral:rRNA from 1 species